UUUUAAAUUGAUGAUCCCGACAAAAGUUGGGAGCGCAGUGUUGACCUUUGUACAGGUGUGUUGACCUUUGUCCAGGUGUGUUAACCUUUGUACAGGUGUGUUGACCUUUGUACAGGUGUGUUGACCUUUGUCCAGGUGUGUUGACCUUUGUCAGGAGCGUUAACCUUUGUCGGUUGUGUUAACUUUUGUCCAGGUGUGUUAACCAAUGUCCAGGUGUGUUAACCUUUGUACAGGUGUGUUGACCUUUGUACAGGUGUGUGUUAACCUUUGUUCACUUGUUUAACACUACCACGGUAGUUUGUAUCACCUGCUUUGCCUUGCCUCAGAUUUUCUGGCACUG